CACGUAGGCGGCUUGGUUAGUCAGGUGUGAAAGCCCCCGGCUCAACCGGGGAACUGCAUCUGAUACUGCCAGGCUCGAGGACGGUUGGGGUGAGUGGAACUCCUGGUGGAGCGGUGAAAUGCGUAGAUAUCAGGAGGAACACCAGUGGCGAAAGCGACUCACUGGACCGCUUCUGACGCUGAGGUGCGAAAGCCAGGGGAGCGAACG
rnacentral:rRNA from 1 species